GGCGCUGAUGGUGUAGGGGUUAAGCGCGUGAUCAUAAACAGAGGCUACAGUCCUCGAAGCGGCCUGGGUUCGAGUCCCGGACCCGGCGACA